UUCAAUACAAAGCAAGGAAAUGAAGAAACAAACAUAAAUGGGUAAGAAAACCUUAACCACAAGCUUUAAUCUUCACAACCCAAGUGUGUUUGUUCAAAAUCAUAGCCUCCAACUUGUUAUUUCUAGUCUAAGAGACUAAAAAUAAGCCAAAAAAUGAUCCGAAAGUCUGCUUGGACGAGUAUGAAAAUCAUUUAGGGUGAGAAUAUGUGAAAUGCCAAAUCUGCCCCAGGCCAUGUGCUCGACUUCCGCUUCUGCGGCAAAGUUACCGCUGAUGCUGUUCUGCAGAAGCGGAAAACCAACCGUAAAAGCGGAAAGCUUCCUGUUCAGCUUUUUUAGCGAAAGAGGAUAUUUGACCGCUUUUGCGGUCCCGUAGAAGCGAGUUUUCAAGCGCAAAAAUGGUUUCUUCCUGAUCCUUCCAUUAUGCAUACGCGAUCAAUAAUCCGUAGCGGAGGUCGCUCCUGCGACUAAGGAUCCGCAGAAGCGGAACUAACUGGGGAUUUUUGCAUGGUUUCAACUCAUUUUUGCUUAAUUCCACUUCACUUCAAUGCAAACCACUUCAUAAC
rnacentral:lncRNA from 1 species